AGAAUCAACGCUGGCGGCGUGCCUAACACAUGCAAGUCGAUCGAGAAAGUGGAGCAAUCCAUGAGUAAAGAGGCGCACGGGUGAGUAACACGUGACUAACCUACCUUCGAGUGGGGAAUAACCUGGGGAAACCCGGGCUAAUACCGCAUAAUACCUACGGGUCAAAGGAGCAAUUCGCUUGAAGAGGGGGUCGCGGCAGAUUAGUUAGUUGGCGGGGUAAUGGCCCACCAAGACGAUGAUCUGUAUCCGGCCUGAGAGGGCGCACGGACACACUGGAACUGAAACACGGUCCAGACUCCUACGGGAGGCAGCAGUGGGGAAUUUUGCGCAAUGGGGGAAACCCUGACGCAGCAACGCCGCGUGGAGGAUGAAGUCCCUUGGGACGUAAACUCCUUUCGACCGGGACGAUUAUGACGGUACCGGAUGAAGAGCCCGCUAACUUCGCGCCGGCAGCCGC
rnacentral:rRNA from 1 species